AAGUCGUAACAAGGUUUCCGUAGGUGAACCUGCGGAAGGAUCAUUACUGUUAACUUUUAUAAACACCAGAGUUUUUUAAACUCUGUGUUUGCAAACAAAAACACCCUUUAAAAUAGCUUUUGAGUGUCUGAAUUUAACCUAGUUAAAUACAAAAACAACUUUCAACAACGGAUCUCUUGGCUCUU
rnacentral:misc_RNA from 1 species